rnacentral:rRNA from 1 species
GACGAACGCUGGCGGCGUGCUUAACACAUGCAAGUCGAACGGAAAGGCCCUGCUUUUGUGGGGUGCUCGAGUGGCGAACGGGUGAGUAACACGUGAGUAACCUGCCCUUGACUUUGGGAUAACUUCAGGAAACUGGGGCUAAUACCGGAUAGGAGCUCCUGCUGCAUGGUGGGGGUUGGAAAGUUUCGGCGGUUGGGGAUGGACUCGCGGCUUAUCAGCUUGUUGGUGGGGUAGUGGCUUACCAAGGCUUUGACGGGUAGCCGGCCUGAGAGGGUGACCGGCCACAUUGGGACUGAGAUACGGCCGAGACUCCGACGGGAGGCAGCAGUGGGGAAUAUUGCACGAUGGGCGGAAGCCGGAUGCAGCAACGCCGCGUGCGGGAUGACGGCCUUCGGGUUGUAAACCGCUUUCGCCGGUGACGAAGCGUGAGUGACGGUAAUGGGUAAAGAAGCACCGGCUAACUACGUG